GCUCUUGAAUUUUCUUUCUUUUUCCCCUGCAGAUCUUGCGUGGGAAUUGAGAUGUCUACAAACAACAUUCCCCUCUAAACUUCAUAAUGGCCUCAAGGAGUGGGACUUUGCUUGCUCUAUGCAGCCACCAUCUUCACUUUUUUUUUUCUUUACAAAUAUGCAUGUACCUAUUUUAGAUGCCCCUGCAAGACAGUAUCCAGCAGACUAUUUCAAGACCAGCCACGAUGUCCCUUUUAUUAAAUCAGGAAGAGAGAGAAAGAAGAAAAUGAUGAUACUAUCAGAAGAAUAAUUUGGGGUUCCAACUCAACCUGGGGUUGCAGAAGAAUAAAUAAAAAUGAAAUCCAGA